rnacentral:rRNA from 1 species
UAUGUGAUCGUCUCUCGCAUAUCAAUAAGCGGAGGAAAAGAAACUAACAAGGAUUCCCCUAGUAACGGCGAGUGAAGCGGGAAGAGCUCAAAUUUGAAAUCUUAAAGGGUUUCCCUUUACGAAUUGUAGUUUAAAGAAGUGUUUUCUGUUGAGGUUUUGGUAAAAGUUCUUUGGAAUAGGACAUCAUAGAGGGUGAGAAUCCCGUAUUUGACCUUUACUUUCAACUUUGUGACUACACUUUCAAAGAGUCGGAUUGUUUGGGAAUGCAGUCCAAAAUGGGUGGUAAAUUUCAUCUAAAGCUAAAUAUUGGCGAGAGACCGAUAGCGAACAAGUACCGUGAGGGAAAGAUGAAAAGAACUUUGAAAAGAGAGUUAAACAGUACGUGAAAUUGUCAAAAGGGAAGCGUUUGACACCAGUGUUGUUUUUCUGAAAAUCAAUUAAAGAACUGUUUAUGCUAAGUUGUUUAGACUUUAUCAGCUAACUGUUUAGUUUUGAGCUUUUCUUUAAUGCACUUUUCAGUUAACAAGUCAACAUCAAUUUCUUUUGCUGUAAAAAAGCUUGAGGAAGGUGGCUUGAGAUUCGUCUUAAGUGUUUAUAGCCUCUUGCCUAUGCAGUCGGAGAGAUUGAGGUCUGCAGCGUAGAUCCUUCGGGGCUAAAUGCAUUUGUGCUAAGUUAUAACAUUUUAUAGACAACUUGUUGACUAUGAUUUGUCUUGUAGCUUACUCGCUUAUGUUAUUUUACCUACGCUUAGGAUGUUGAAGUCAUCGUAUCGCGC